rnacentral:rRNA from 1 species
CGGGACACGUGGUAUCCUGUCUGAAUAUGGGGGGACCAUCCUCCAAGGCUAAAUACUCCUGACUGACCGAUAGUGAACCAGUACCGUGAGGGAAAGGCGAAAAGAACCCCGGCGAGGGGAGUGAAAAAGAACCUGAAACCGUGUACGUACAAGCAGUGGGAGCACGCUUAGGCGUGUGACUGCGUACCUUUUGUAUAAUGGGUCAGCGACUUAUAUUCUGUAGCAAGGUUAACCGAAUAGGGGAGCCGAAGGGAAACCGAGUCUUAACUGGGCGUUAAGUUGCAGGGUAUAGACCCGAAACCCGGUGAUCUAGCCAUGGGCAGGUUGAAGGUUGGGUAACACUAACUGGAGGACCGAACCGACUAAUGUUGAAAAAUUAGCGGAUGACUUGUGGCUGGGGGUGAAAGGCCAAUCAAACCGGGAGAUAGCUGGUUCUCCCCGAAAGCUAUUUAGGUAGCGCCUCGUGAAUUCAUCUCCGGGGGUAGAGCACUGUUUCGGCAAGGGGGUCAUCCCGACUUACCAACCCGAUGCAAACUGCGAAUACCGGAGAAUGUUAUCACGGGAGACACACGGCGGGUGCUAACGUCCGUCGUGAAGAGGGAAACAACCCAGACCGCCAGCUAAGGUCCCAAAGUCAUGGUUAAGUGGGAAACGAUGUGGGAAGGCCCAGACAGCC